rnacentral:lncRNA from 1 species
AGGAGAAAAUAAUGGUGUGGGUUCUCGUGGACCGCCGGUGGAGGAGGGAAGAAGCGGACGACGCAGGAGAGUAGAGACCACAAGAAACCCUAGCUCCGUCGCUUUUGGAGCGCCGUAUUUUUCUGAUUAGUAUUUAUUGGCAGCAGAAGUGUGCCACACUGAAUAUAGAUGGAGCACAUGAGACUUCAAAGCUUGCCUCCAAAGUGACACACUUUCAACAAGGCCACACCUACAAGACCACAGGUCCUAAUAGUGCCAUUCCCUGUGGUCCAAGCUUUCAAAUUCAUGAGUCUAUGGGGCCAUUCCUAUUCAAACCACCACAACGUUUCUUCACAUCUCCCCAGGAACAUAACUGUUAGAAGCUGAGCAGGGCUUAAUCACUUUCUGAAUGGUCCCUAAGAGAAUGAAAGAACUUCCAAAGGAGAAGAGUCCCUAGUAAAUGGAGCUAGAAGCUUACGACCUUGACUAGAAGCAUGGCUCAACUCUAAACCGAGCGAAGAUGAGGAAGAAGCCUGCUGCGCAUGCCCUAGGAAAGAGUCACUGGAUUCCAAUGUGUUUGUGUUUCUGGAAAGUGCUUUAAUCCAGAGACUGUCUUUAUAAAUGCUUGCUUGUUUACCUU